UACGAAGGGGCUAGCGUUGUUCGGAAUUACUGGGCGUAAAGCGCACGUAGGCAGAUACUUAAGUCAGGGGUGAAAUCCCGGGGCUCAACCCCGGAACUGCCUUUGAUACUGGGUAUCUCGAGUCCGGAAGAGGUGAGUGGAAUUCCGAGUGUAGAGGUGAAAUUCGUAGAUAUUCGGAGGAACACCAGUGGCGAAGGCGGCUCACUGGUCCGGUACUGACGCUGAGGUGCGAAAGCGUGGGGAGCAAACAGGG
rnacentral:rRNA from 1 species